GUUUCCCUCUCACCGGAGCACCCGGAUUCUCCUCCUCUUCCUCCUCCUCACCCCCCGCAGCGUCUCUGGCGUCCCGGGCGCUCUGCAUCGCCGCGACAGAGCCGGCCCCGGGGCCGAGGGCAGCGGCAGCGGGUGCCCGGAGCGGCCGCGUUGCACCGUCUCUAGGAUUAGGGCAUGGACUUGGCAUAGAUCCUGGCAAUGAAGGAGGAACAGGAAUGGACAUCAGGAUAUCUGCUGGAAGGAGACAGGGGAAGGAGAGACCUCCUCUUGCAGUGGGAGUAGGGUAGAGACAGGGACUAAGGAUUCUUACCUGAUGUGAUAUUUAUCCCUGUUUCCUGCUGGAUGUAGCUGUGUCCCACUUUCUGCUACUUUCACCAAAUGAGCAAACUCUAACAAGUAGCAAGAAGUGCUUAUGCUUGGGACACCACUGCUGUGCAAGAUUCUCCCGCCAGCUUGCUGACAGAAGGUUUCCUCCUAUGCCUCUGUAUGGUUUGCAGUCAUACGGAAGGACCAUAACCACCAGUACAUAUUACUGAGCAUAGGGGAAGGUCAAGAUCAAAACAUCUGAAGAUCUGAAAGCAACUAUUUCAUUGACUAUGCUUGCAGUGUUUGUAAACUGAUGUAGUACGCACAGAUGAACCUCAGAGAUACAUAACUGUACAAACU